rnacentral:lncRNA from 1 species
AAAACUAUAAAUGAACAAACUUUUGAAGCCUGUAACUUACAAUAAACACAAACCCAAAAAUGACAUUUAAAUCCUGCAAGUGUUUUUUCAUCAUCCCUAACAAAAAGAAACAAGAAUAAUUAUAUACCAAUAAUUUUUCUACAAAAAAUUAUAGACUCAAGGGAGGAUUAAGCGGCGGAGCUGUUGGUGUAGAUGAAGAGACAGGCUGCAUCAUCGGCGCAGAGGAGGAUGGAGGAGGAACAAAGAAUAAGGAAGGCUUUACGAGAUUAGGUGUCCCGUUGCCAGAUUCAGAGGUGUCAAUGGGUGGCAUUAAAGGAGUAUGUGCUGAUAGAGGUGGGGAUGGUAUUUGCAAGGUUGGCACAGUAGGAGAAGCAACACUGGCAGGAUGAGAAGGUACAGAAAUAGUUGUAUUGCACUGGUAAGGUUGUGCAGAAAUUGCUGCAUUAGAAUAAAAAAUUAUAGUCCAGAGUAAUGGGUCGCUCAAUUUAUCGAAGAUAACUGGAUCUUAGAAUAGCCAUCAGAUUUUCCAUCAGAUAACUGGAUCUUAGAAUAGCUGGAAAUGUGUUUGGUUACUGAGAAAGAGAGCAAGAAAAUGAAAGAAAUCUAUUUCACUUUUUAUUUAUCAGAAUGAUUACAUUCACAAUGAAUCUAAGCUGAUAUUUAUACUUGAAUGAAUACACACGAGAUUCUUCUUGCUAGAUACUUCUAGAAACUCUACACGCACACUCGCACUGAGCUAGUGGUUACUAAAACCGUUACAACAAUAUUGCCAGCUCAGCAUAACCAACUUAUAACUAACACACUCAGCUGCAGGGGAAACCAUCAAGCUUACUGCGCAUCCUCUGUAAUCAAGCUUCUUUAAGCAUGCUCUGCAGAUCAUAUUUUUGUGGGUCUUACAUUAUCCAAAAAAAUAACUCGUCCAUCUAGUAACUGCAAGUACAUACUGUGAGAUGCUUAAACUCAACAAUAUAAGCAUGGUAAAUUAGAGAAAAAUGAUGCAAAUUAGAUACACCUGCACAGAAUGCCAGUUAAUUUGGUCAUAAUUAGAUAACAAGAUUGCAAAUUCUGCAGCCAAAGGUAGAACGCAACUAAGGAAAUCAAAUAUGAACAUGUCUUCAAUCUCAAAAUAUUAAGAGUAGCAUAAGUAACUUGUGAAACAGUUAUAAGUUCAAAGGAAUUAGAUGAUGGCAUGGUUGAAUUUAUAAAUAUUUGAUAUUUUGGACCGAACAGGGCAAACAGAUGGAUCCAGAUAAUUAAGAAAAAAUAUCAAUUCCAUGCAACCAAAUUAGUGUGUACAAUGCAAUUGCCUUUCCCUAUGAGAGUAGAGAGCCUAAAUACAAGCAAAAACCUACUAAUGCAUCUGCAGAAGCUCACAUUCACUAGCUGCAUGAUUAAAUCACUGGAUGGUCUCGCUAUGCGGUGAAGAAUGAAAUAAUUAACGACCUGAUAAGGCUGCAACGUGAAGAAACUAUUCACCAGAAAAAGUUCAAAAUCAAAUCAACGUGGUUUUGAUUUUGGAAAAAAUGAAACAAUACGUAGUGAAUGAAUCUGCUCGUAACUAUGCAAGACACAAUCACUUCCCAGGAUCUCAGAUAUAGAUUUACCAAGUUGCACAGAUUGAAGAACGAAUCCAGAAAGAAUCAAUUUAACACAAGAAUUAAGAGAACUGAAAAGAAUAGAAACAAACACAGACAACACAAGAAUCAAUUACGUGGUUCGGUUGCACCAAGGAGGCACAACCUACAUCCACCACGGGAGAUGCUUUGGAGAGCUUUUAUUGAAUAACAAUGGAGGAUCUUUUACAGGGCUUUUACUUAAGAUUACAGAGAACUCAUCUUUCACAUUCUCUGAUAUCUCUCUCUCUCUCUUAACACGGUUACACACACGCUCAGCUCACAAACUGAACUACAAGAGCAAUUAGCUAAAUCUAGAUUGCACAGCUUGUUGACACGUUGAGUAACAGACUUAAUGAACUGAAUCAAGUUGCCUCGCACGGCUAUCACGUGCAUCACUUAAAGCUUUCCCUUAAACGACACAGAAGAACUGCCGUUUCAAACUUAAGAAACAAGUGAUUACACACGUGCUUGAGCCCGUGACUUUUAAGUGCUCUUAUCUUAUAUUGCCAAAACGCUGCCGUUUAGAGCUGAUGAGUUUGAUCCACCAGCAAGCCUCACACAAUAUCACUUGAGCAACACUAUAAAAUUAUUCAAAGAAAUCUCUAGGUCAGUAUCCAAAUAUAUGGCUCCGUCCGUUCCACCAGCACCUAAAAUAUCAGAUCCCCCCAUUUGGAUUCGAUUGAUUAAUUUGAGCAUAUAAAAUCGGGUUUUAAACUUCCCUAAUCAAAAUUUAUAUUCCGCAGAAUCGGUUCCUUUAACAUGAUGCAUUACAUAAUAUUUUGUUUGCAAAAUAAAGAAGAAAGAUGACAUAAUAGAAACACUCGCAGAGAGAGAAUACCUUUGACGAAAAGCUUAGAAGUGAAUCCUCUGUAAAAUACGAGUUGAGCUGCUGAAUUUUUCGAGUUUGAAUGAGAGACUGCGCCAUUUCUGAAAAUGUUUUUUUCUCAUUAGCGCCGCCAUUUUUGUAAUAGAGGGUAAAGAAAUAAGUAACAAAGUAAGAGGUGAGCAGAAGCGGCCCAAUUUAGUUAUAUGCAUGUAUGUGAUCAAAAUUGGAUGGUUAAAUUUUGUUGUUUCCAAUAAUUUUAUGUUGUAUCUUUUUUAAUAAUAAAGAAAACUUGCAUUAAAACUAAAAGUAGGGUAAUACCUGAUUUUAUAAAUAGAUUGCAGUGUAAUUUUGAAAAUAAAACAAUAAUUUACGAAAUGGUUAUAACAUAAUUUUAAUUUUUUUUCAAAAAGGAAAAACAACAAAAGUAAGAUAUAGAGAAUGAGGGCUGCAAACUUUGUAUCUUAAACGGCCGUUAGAUUAUUUGUAAAUGAAAGCAACGGUGAGAUAUUAGUGGCUUAUGGAAACAGGUAAUCAUAAGGACUACAAGUUUUUUUUGGUUACAUUGAUAUAUUACAAUCAUGAUUCUAUUAAUAUUUACAAUCAGAAUUUUAUCUGAUUAUCUUUAAUAAUUCUAAACUAGUACAGCCCAAAUUUCUAUUCUCAUAUAAUAUUAAAGAGAGAUAUAUAUUCUUUUCCUCUAUUAAUGAAGAGAUUUUUUUACUUCUAUCCAAUUUAAUUGGAAUGAGAAUUAAGUACUUUCAAUAGUGAGGACUCAGAACUCAUACAUGCAGAGUGUGGGGAGUGACAAUGGGCCAAGAGACCAUUGACAAGUACAAAAGAGUGGUUGCAAUUAAUUCAAACCGCUACACACGGUAUUGCAACCAAAUUGAGGGCCCAUUUUUGUUUAUUUCAUUGAAAAAUAGUUUGCACAAUUAAUUCAAACCGCUACACACGCUAUUGCAACCAAAUCGAGGGCCCUUUUUUGUUCCUUUGGUUGAAAAUUAGUUUGUACAAUUAAUUCAAACCACUACACACGCUAUUGCAUCUUUUGAAAAAGAAAAAAGUGGAAUAGAUUUCCAAGAUUAAUUCAGAGAAUAAGAUUUAAUAAUAAUGAUGUUAGAAAUCUUGAUAUUUGAAUCUUAAUAUUAUGUAUCACUGAUUUAUUAAAUAAUAGAUUUCAUAGUUUGUAAAAGUAUUUAACCACUUGAUAAAUAUUAUAUUUGUUGAGACUAAAUUAGGAUUUAAAUGUUGGAAUAUCUAACAUUACAUAAAUAAAUAAAAACUUAAUAAUUUAUCUUCACACGACUAAUUAUUUUUGCAUCACAACUAACCUUAAUUAUUUUAAAAAUAAUAAUAUUAUUAAAUUGCCCUGACUAGAUAUCAAAAGAUGAAAGCAUGUUAAAAUAAGAAAUUACUAAGAAACAUGUGCUUAAACAAAUGUUCAGGCUACGAACAAUUAAGAAGAAACAACUUACAAUCAAAGGUUAAGAUUAUGAACAAUUUAAGGAAGGUAUUGAGCAGAUAAAGGGACGGAAUGGUUGUUUGAAUUGCCGAUGACAAAAAUGCUUGUGUUGUGAAAAGAAAUUUGAUGGUUUGUAAAUGGGUUGAAUUUUUCGCUCGCUUCAAUGACUUUCUUAUGCCCAAUAUAUUACUUUGCACAGUAGUAUUUGGGAUAUAUCCUAACAAUCAACUCUUAAUUUGGUCCCAAUAUAUUACUUUAUGAAUGCUUGUGUUGUUUUUUUUUUAUAUAAAAUAAUUUAUUUAACUAAUCAUAGAAAUAAGGGAGAAAAGGGGGCAUUUGUUGACUCAAAGUCAAUUACAAAUAUUCCAUGCCUAACUUCCACGCACCCUAAAGCGGUUUGAUUUGCUUUCACGCCUUCAUGAAUUUCCAUGAAAGAGAGUGCCUCUCGUCUCUUUCCGGACAGUGCCGACAAUUAUGUUAACGUGACAAAUACAUAACGUUAUUACAUACAAUAAUAAGUUUUUGGAGCCGAGACUUGAGAGGGAGGUUCUAUCUAAUUCUAAAGAUUGUAACCAAAUCAUUAUCCCCAAUUUUUUUCAGUUAAAUAAAAUAAAAUUUAUGCUUAAGUAUAAAUAAAAUCCACAGUGGAUAAAGAUUUGAUUAUCGAUUUUUUUUAAUGUAAAAUUGCUGGUUUGUUGCUUAAAAUUUUCAAUAAUAAUUUCACUUAUUUAGUAAUUAGAGAGAGAGAGAGGAUUGAGGGCCAAUGUUUCGCGAUUUGGGGUCAAUUCACAGUCAACUAACGUGUAAAACAUGAUUUCCUUUCAUGAACUUCGAAGAAAGAAAGAAGACUCUUCGCCUUCUUCGUGACAACGAAUGAUGUUGAUAUGACAAAUACAAUCGCUAUUACAGGGAACAACAUAGGACCGAGACUUGAUAAAGGGUUUGUUAAAUUACAUGUUAUUUUCUUGCUGACUGAAUUGGAAGAAAAAAAUAAAAAUAAAAUAAAAUUGUAAUCAGGGUGAUGUGUGGAAUAUAUUGAAAUAAAUAAAUAGAGAAGAGAAAUUUGUUGAUCAAUAUUCAAGAACUCAUCCAAAGUGACUGUUAAAUUCUAGAGGUUCCGUAUGAUUAGCAUUUAUUUUUAAUUUUUUGGCUUAACAUCAUAUGUAGUCACUGGUCAUGUGAUCUAGGAUAGGUUUAGAAAUCUUUUUUUUUUUAACUUCCGUAUUCUUAUUAUUUAAUUAGUUAUAGGGUUUUUUAGUAUUUGAGUAGUGAUCACAGAUCUCCUAAUAUAAAAAUAUGUUUCUACGAGUACAAAUAAAAACUAGGAUUUUAACAACCUUUUAUACUAAACCCUAAAAAUAUAUGAAUUUAUCAAAAUAAAUAAAUUUGAAUUGGUAUGCCAUAAUAAAAAUUUUACUUGCCAAAACAAAUUAAAAAAAAUAUGACGCUUAAAUCAAAUAUCGACAAAAAUAGAUAAAAAUCCAACAAGAAUCUCAAAAAUAAGAAAGAUAUCUUCAGACAAAAAUAGAAGCGUCCAAGAGAAAUUUGACAAAGACAAAUACCAAUUACUCAAGUUAUGGCCCUAUGAAGACAUCCUAUUCAUUCUACCUAGACCAGGACGUGUCGCACAUGUUUGCAUUCAAAUUUAGGUGAAAGCAAAUCGAGAGUUUGAUUAAAUUCAACCAAUUAUUAGUGUGUAAGGAUGGUAGGGAUGGAAAAAAACUCCGACCGUUCUUAGGUAUGGUAUUACCCAGAUCUGGCCUAAGCAUGUUUUUUUGAACACUCGGACUUUUUUAAUCAAAACUUAAAAAACCUAGAAUUUAUAUUUUAUAAUAUUAUAUAUAUUUAAUUUAUUUUAUAAUUUUAUAUUUUCAAAUUUUAUUUUAAUGAAAUUGGAAUUAAAAAUAUGAGUUUUAAAUGUUUAAAAAUUUAAAAAUAGAUAAUAAGUGGACCAAAUGAACAAAAUAAUAGAUAUUUUAUAAUAUUCUUCAUAAAAAUCCAAGUUUUGAGCUAGCCCAUAAGCUUGUCUAGUGAAGUCUGGGUACCCGCGUUGCCCAAGGUUCCGCCAGAAUCCAGGCUGUGCAGAUAUUUAUGGACGGAGAGGAAAUAUUUUCAGUUGACUGAAUUAAAUAAAAAUAUAUUACAAUCAUAUUAUAUAUUAACAGAAAAAAUAAAAAGAAAUGAAGAAAAACGCAUGCAAGACUUAGACAAAGUCAAUUAAAAGCUGGGAGUAUCAUCAGUUCAAUUGGUUUUAAAUAGCGUAGAACCAUCCUCUCGUUGUUGCAGAAGAGAGACAGAAAGAGUGUGUGUAGGUGAUUAUAAUUAAGAAGAUAUAAUGUGUGGUUCAAAAAGAGUGUGGGUGAGUGAGUUAAUUUUCAUAUUAUUAGUAGUAAAAGGGUGGUGGAGUGAGGGAUGUUUGGAGCAAGAGAGGUAUGCUCUCCUCCAACUCAGACAUUUCUUCAAUGAUGAUCAAUGUCUUCAAAACUGCUGGGUAGACGAUGAGAAUUAUUCAGAUUGUUGUCAGUGGGAACGGGUUGAGUGCAACGACACUACUGGCAGAGUGAUUAAAUUAGAUCUACGAGAUACUAGGAAUUGGGAAUCAGCAGAGUGGUAUAUGAAUGCCUCUCUGUUUACUCCCUUUCAACAAUUAGAGUCUCUUUAUCUAAUUGGGAACAAUAUAGCUGGUUGUGUUGAAAAUGAAGGUCCUUAAUUUACUUUAUUUUAAUUCUUCCUCCUCGUAAUUUCUUACAUCUAUCUGAUCCCUUUUGGCUUUUAUUUAAUUUUUACGUGAUACAAUAAAAUUAUUUUUUAUUUUUUGUCAGGUCUAGAUACGUUAUCAAGGUUGAACAACUUGAAGUUUCUUUAUUUAGACUAUAACCACUUCAACAACAGCAUCUUUUCAUCUCUAGGUGGUCUUUCAUCACUCAGAAACUUAUCAUUGAUUGGUAAUAGAUUGAUUGGAAGUAUUGAUAUUAAAGGUAAGUACGCUUCAACCCUUUUCCCCUGUCCCAUCUUUUGUGGAUCUUAUUUCACUGAGCAGCUGGAAGUAUUGAUACGAGAUCUAGCUAGAUUCUUGCGAGUUUAGGCUUCAAGGCUUUGAAUAUUAUAAAAAUAGGAUUAAGAAAUUAUCAAUAUAUGCAAUUUUCAAUGCUUCUCAUAGUCAGACACAAUUCAAUCUAAUUAUUUCUUAUGUCCUGUCUUCAAAAGUAAAGAAUUGUACACUAAAUGGAAAUCGACAUCAUAGCAUUUUAUUUUCUGUAAUGAUAUUUCUUCGUUAACAAAUUUAUAUCCUAAGAGGGAUUGGAUUUAAAAAAAAAAAGAUUUGAUGUUCAAGGUAAGCCAUAAUAACCUGCAUCUUAUUUGUCUGCCGAUAUCCAAAUUUGUGCACUGAAUUUAGUAUUUUGGUUAUUGUGAAGGGAUCAGAUAUUGUCUUCCAUAGACCAACUUGUAUUUACUUAAUUAAUUAAUUAACGCCAUUUAGUAUUUAACAAAUUAAAAUUUCGUAUUUAAUCUAUUUUAAAUUUUUUAAGAAAAAAGAAAAAGAUAUAGCCGUAGGUAAAGCUAAAAUAAAUUUAAAUUCCUUACAAAUUUAAAUUCAUGGUUGUCAGCUAAAUAUACCUGCUUAAAGCCACUCAGUCGAGCCCUUUAAGAGCUGCUUUAAGUUUUUCGGAUUAGCCAUAUUCUUUUCACAUAAAUAAAUUUCUUUGCGCCGAGAUUUAAAAUAACGAAGGAGAAAAUAAGUUAUUUAAUUAACCCUGUUUUAAGUGUUGGCAUAAAUGCAGGACUGGAUUCCUUGGGUAACUUGGAGGAGCUGGACAUGAGCGACAAUGCAAUCAACAAUCUAGUGAUUCCUAAAGGUAUACAAAAUGUUCAAAUAUUAAUAAUUUGGAAGACAAUUUAAUUGAUUUGAUUAGGGAUUUCCCAAUGACACUUACCCAAAAUAAUUUAAUCCGAAAUUGUAAUCCAAAUAGAUUACAGAGGUUUGAGGAAGUUGAAUACCCUUUACUUAGGGGGAACGGAAAUUGCAAUGAUAGAUGGAAGCAAGGUGUUACAAUCAAUAGGAUCACUACCGUCCCUCAAAACACUUUACCUUUCGUCUACUAAUUUUAAGGGAACAGUAGUUAAUCAAGGUAAGUAAGUCUUUUAUGUCGAAAAUAAUUGAAUUAAUAUAUAUAGCUAAAAUUUACUGUUUCUUCUUCUUUGUAAAUAGAAUUGCACAAUUUCACCAACUUGGAAGAAUUGAUAUUGGACGAUUCUGAUCUCCACAUAAGCCAGCUUCUGCAAAGCAUCGCAUCAUUCACUUCGUUAAAGUAUUUGUCAAUGGGAUUUUGUACACUCACGGGUGCGCUACAUGGUCAAGGUAAAUUACGGGUAUCUGAAGCUUUUAUGAUAUUAAUUCGAUAAUAAUUAUUUCUUUUCAAGUUAAUUUUCUCCCAUAAAAUAAUAUAUAUUUUUUUAAAUUUUAUAUAUUUUCACUGUCCAAUAGUUCUAGCUUCUCUAAUUUGCAGGAUUCUUGAUUAAGGUUAAUGAAAUUUUAGUUCUGUUAUGUUAAGAAUAUUUCGAUCGCUUAGAAGAGUAAAGAAAAAUAAGUAAAUUAACCAAAAAAAAAAGAAAAGAAAAGGACCGGAUUAUCCUUAUUCCCUUGCAUUAUGUGAUCAAUAUCAAAAUUAUAAUCAUUUCUUGUUUAUUGCUUGUAGAUUUUCGUAAAUUCAAGAAUUUGAAAAAUCUGGACAUGAAUCUGGUGUAUGUUGACGUCAACACCAGUUUUCUUCAAAUUGUCGGUGAAUCGAUGCCUUCUCUCAAGUUUUUAUCACUGACAGAUUCAAUUCUUAAUAAAAACACCAUUCUUGAUCAAGGUUAAUUAAUGAUUCUCCUUCUCCCUCUCUCGCAUCAUAACUAAAUUUAAUUGAGAAUAUCUAUAAUGCGAGCUAUUUAUAAACUUAAUGAAAGAUGAUAAGGAGCUACUAUAAUGACAAAAACAACUGUAAAAUAGUGCGCUGUUGUAGUGUUAAUUGAAAAAUAAUGCUAAUUUUAUAGUCAUUUUGUUGCCAUUACGUCAGAUUCCAUUGUUCAAUUAUUUAAGUUUUAUGCAAAUAUAUUUUUCAGGACUUUGUCGGUUAGUGCAUCUACAAGAGUUAUACAUCGGCGGUAAUGAUUUGAGAGGUAGCUUGCCAUGGUGCUUGGCAAACAUGACAUCCCUCCAAGUGUUAGAUGCCUCUUUUAAUCAACUUACUGGAAACAUCUCCCCAGGCCUUUGUGAGUUGGUGCUUCUGAGAGAGUUAUACAUUGAUUACAAUGAUUUAAGAGGUAGCUUGCCUUUGUGCUUGGCAAAUUUGACUUCCCUUCGAGUAUUAGAUGUCUCUUACAAUCAACUUACUGAAAACAUCUCAUCUUCCCUCAUGCAUCUAAUAUCUAUGGAAAAGCUCAUACUUUCAAAUAAUCACUUCUUCCAAAUCCCUAUUUCACUUGAACCACUUUUCAAUCUCACAAAACUCAAGACUUUCGAUGGUGAAAUAUACGCAGAAACUGAGUCACAUUAUAAUUCUUUGACCCCAAAAUUCCAAUUGACUUCUAUCUCAUUGUCUGGCUACGGAGAUGGUGGCACAUUUCCCAAAUUCUUGUACCAUCAGCAUGACUUGAAGAAUGCUGAUCUCUCACACCUUAACUUGAGUGGAAAUUUUCCAAAUUGGUUGGUAGAAAACAAUACGAACUUAGAGACGCUUCUUCUUGCCAAUAACUCUCUUUUUGGAUCAUUUCGGAUGCCAAUUCAUUCCCACCAGAAAUUAGCAACAUUGGAUGUCUCCAACAAUUUCUUUCAAGGCCAUAUCCCAGUAGAAAUCGGAAUAUAUCUGCCAGGCUUAAUGCAUUUAAACUUAUCUAGAAAUGCUUUCAACGGUAGCAUUCCCUCUUCAUUUGCUGAUACGAAAAUGUUGAAAAGCUUGGACAUAUCCUACAAUCAGUUGACUGGUGAAAUCCCUGAGCGCAUGGCCAUGGGUUGCUUCUCAUUGGAAAUUCUUGCAUUGUCAAACAACAGUUUGCAAGGUCAUAUAUUCUCUAAAAAAUUUAACUUGACAAAUUUGAUGAUGUUGCAGUUGGAUGGUAAUAAAUUCAUUGGAGAGAUCCCAGAAAGCUUAUCUAAGUGCUAUUUGUUGGGAGGAUUGUAUCUGAGUGAUAAUCAUCUCUCUGGUGAGAUUCCAAGAUGGUUGGGUAAUUUGUCAGGUUUAGAAGAUAUUAUAAUGCCCAAUAACAAUCUUGAAGGACCAAUUCCAAUCGAGUUUUGUCAGCUUGAUUAUCUGAAGAUUUUAGACCUUUCAAACAAUAGUAUUUUUGGAACUUUACCAUCUUGUUUUAGUCCAGCAUCUAUCGAACAAGUUCAUUUGUCGAAAAACAAGAUAGAAAGACGGCUGGAGAGUAUAAUCCAUGACAGCCCUCAUUUGGUGACAUUCGAUCUUAGUUAUAACAGCUUACACGGAAGUAUUCCAAAUUGGAUUGACAGACUACCUCAGUUAAACUACCUUCUUUUAGCUCAUAAUUAUAUUAAAGGCGAAAUACCAGUUCAAUUAUGCCAGUUGAAGGAAGUGCGGUUGAUUGAUCUUUCUCAUAAUAAUCUAUCUGGUCAUAUUCCUCCUUGCUUGGUUAACACUUCACUCAGUGAAGGUCAUCAUGAGGCAGUAGCUCCAACUUCUAGUUCGUGUGGUCGAGCGUCUGGCUAUGCAAGUCCAUGUGCGAAAAAUACAAGUGGACUUCCGAUGGGAAAGGAAGAAACUGUACAGUUCACAACAAAGAAUAUGUCCUACUAUUAUCAAGGAAGAAUUUUGACGAGUAUGUCUGGGAUUGAUCUUUCUUGUAACAAACUGACAGGUGAGAUUCCUACUCAAAUUGGAUAUCUUACAAGGAUUCGUGCGCUAAAUCUAUCUCAUAACAAUUUGACGGGCACAAUCCCGACAACAUUUUCAAACCUGAAGCAAAUCGAAAGCUUGGACCUCUCCUACAACCUACUGCAUGGGAAAAUCCCUUCUCAGCUCACUGUGCUAAAUACAUUGGCGGUCUUCACAGUAGCAUACAAUAACUUAUCAGGAAAAAUUCCAGAUAGAGUUGCACAAUUUUCAACUUUUGAGGAAGAUAGCUAUGAGGGGAAUCCUUUUCUUUGUGGAUGGCCACUGUCUAAAAGUUGCAAUGAUAGUGGAUUAUCAGCAGUGACACGAGAAGCUUACACUGAUAAUGAAGAAGGUGAUAGUUUAAUUGACAUGGACAGUUUCCUAAUCACUUUUACAGUAUCUUAUGGAAUUGUGAUAUUAGGAAUUAUUGGAGUUUUGUACAUAAACCCCUAUUGGCGACGAAGAUGGUUUUACCUUGUUGAAGUAUGUAUGAUCUCUUGCUACUAUUUUGUAGUAGAUAAUCUUAUUCCUAGAAGAUUCUAUGGUGGAUGGAUGUAAUUUCAUUUACUUUACAACUUAUAUGUAAUUUUUAAAGAAUUUUCUUUUGCAUGCAUGGAAUAGCAACUCAAUAAAAGUAUUUGAUGCAAAUUGUCCUAGAACAACUUAGUAAUUUCAUUGCUACUAUUUGGCUGUAUAUAUACAGUUAAUGAAAUUUUUAAUCAUUCGCAGUAGGAAUUUCUUUAGAUGGCGGCCAAAACUAACAGAUUUGGGGCUCUACUUCUACACAUCAUAACAGGCAAAAGGUCUCUCUUUUACACGAUCUGAAUGAAGAUUAACUUACGCCCUCUAGGCUCUGGAGUGUGUGUAAGUUCUCUAUUAAACUUGACGGUUGAGAUUUCAGGUCCAGAUGAAAGUGAAAUGCAGGCGACGAGACUACACUUUAAGUAAACUGGGACAAACUUAAAAUAAAAAAAAUUGUAGUCCAGGGUGAGAGUGAUGGGUAGCUCAACUUAUGGAGGAUAACUAGGACUUGGAAUAACUAUCAGAUUUGCAACUCUUGUUAUAUGCUAGUGGGGAUUUAGGUAGCAAUUUUUUUUUUUUUCCUUUUUGCCCUCUUCCUCACAAUAAACACACCUAACACACCAAGCCGUGCCCAAAAUAAUCCUAUUUUAUUCAUGUCAUGAAUCCAAAAACUAUCCCAGCUCACUUUGUUUAACCAGCAUAACUAAAUUGUGGGUAUAAAUGAACACACUUUCGAAGCCUGUAACUUAUAAUAAGCUCAAACCCAAAAAUGACAUUUAAAUCCUGCAAGUGUUUUUCAUCAUCCCUAACAAAAAGAAACAAGAAUAAUUAUAUACCAAUAAUUUUUCCAUAAAAAAUACUGAUUUGAGUUGAAACACUAUACAAACUGGGUUUUAUUACACUUGCAGAAAGCUACACGGUAGACAAAAUCUAGCAGCUACAUAUUGGUAUCACUUUCAGCUGGUCAUGAAUGGUGUGCAUUCAGCAGUGCUCGAUAGACCAUGUCUAUGAAUUGAUUGUCCUAUUACAUAUAAAAGCUGGUCAGAUAUACAAGGAAAAAAAUAAUAAUUGAAAAUGCAUCACAAAAAAUAAGUGUUUCGCAUUAGUGUUUGCACUCUAAGCAUGGCAAAGUGGUGCGGGGUUCAUGAUUUUGAAGACUGUGAUAAGUGAAAAAUAGUUCAAUCCACUGAUGAACAUAAAUUUAUUUACAUGUCAAUUUAGAUAUCAUCAAAAAGUAAACAGUAAUUCAGAGUCACUUAAAAUAGUUGAUAAAAUGCGUGCCAUGAAUGUAUUUUUGUACAUAAGAAAUCCAAAGAGUAUUUCUGACAAUACAAAUAUGCUAGCUUUAAGUCUGCUGUCAAUAUGCAAUUAAGAAGAUUAUACCAGCUGCAUGAUAAAGUUCCCCUAAUCUUAAUAACAGUAAACAUGAACAUGUCAGAUGCAAUUAUAGCUUUGAGCAUUUGCAUAACCAGAAAUCCUAACCUGAACAAGCACCAGAAGUGUCUCUCGGACUUUCUCCUUGCUGAUAAAUGGUCCGCUGUCUGAAGUAAGAGCAGGAGUAAGAGAUGGUGGAGGGGUUGGUGGUGGAAAAGGUUGAAGCACUGGGGCACCAUAUGGGCGUUGCAGACUCGGGGGAGGAUUAAGUGGCGGAGCUGUUGGUGUAGAUGAAGAGACAAGCUGCAUCAUCCGUGCAUAGGAGGAUGGAGGAGGAACAAAGAAUAAGGAAGGCUUUACAAGAUUAGGGGUAGGUGCUGAUAGAGGUGGAGAUGGUAUUUGCAAAGUUGGCACGAUAGGAGAAGCAACACUGGCGGGAUGAGAAGGUAAAGAAAUAGUUGUAUUGGACUGGUAAGGUUGUGCAGAGAUUGCUGCAUUAGAAGUAUUCCCCACAGUCAAAGCUGUCUGCAAUGAUAAGGACAGAUGUCAUAUAAAAGGACAUCAUAGAAGUUGAACCUCACACAAAAAUGAAGUGAUAACAUAUGAAAAUAGUAUAUGACUUGCUGCAUUUUUGUGGUAAUGUUGCAUACUUAUGUAGAAACAUAUUAUUUCAAAGAAAACAUACACUGAAGAAGUUCACAAAAGCAGGAUCUUCAGGAACAUCAACAGCAUUUGAGGGAGUUGACUCUAGAGGACCAUCCAUAACUGCCAUAGUUGGAACAGCUUCCAGUUCCUCAAACUCACUGCAGUUUAACAUAAAAGGAACUUGAUGACCAAUUUAAGUAAUAAUUAGAUGAUAUAAGAGGUUAGGGAAAAUGAUGAGUGGACCCUUAUGGAAGAUGAUUUCACCUUAGCUAAACACGAAAAUAAAAUGAAAUCAAAGCUGAAUCCUCGAGUGCAAUGCAAAUAAUUUUUUCUCUCUCUUCUCUAACUCCUCUUAUUCGAAAUUGCUCAUCAUUGUGCAGUUCCUCGAGAUUUUGCUAGAAUAGAGAAAGCUAUUCUCCCGUUAAGUGCAGAGGAAAAAGAAGGGCAAGGGCCUGGUAUGAUGCUAUUCUAUAGGAAGUGAGAAGGUGAAGGGCUAAAAUAUUUUGCAAUUUGGAGGUGGUGUUUGUUAGUGUGUGUACUUCUGAAUUUAUUACCUCUUUAGGAUCCAUAGAAAUUGCCUCUUGUUCAGCAUGCACUGUGCCUACGAGUAAGGCGAGCUUGCAUGGUAUCUAUUGUCUAUUUACUUGGAUAUUCAAACAGGACUACCAGCAACCAAACACAAAUCCCCAAACAAAACACUCUUUCAAGUGCAAGGAAAGAGUAACUUGGGCAUAUUUAUGGUUCAAGCACUACCAUAACUAAGAAUGUGAUGCUGUCCACAAACACUAUAUCAGUGCCUUUUGAACUACAUCACAUGCUCGAAGACUUUUUUUUUAGUCAUACAUAAAUUAGCUAUAAAAUUAAGACCAUUAUACAACUAAAAAGAAAGAAAAAUUGUUUGCCACUACAUAUCAAAACUGGUAAUAGCAAUGUAAGAUGGCAGACUUCUUACUUAAACAGAUGAGAGGCUACAAAUAAAAAAUUUGUGCAAAUAAAAUAUAUGAUAAAGAGCAUAAUACCUUCUUGGGGGCUAAAAAUAAUAUACAACUUGUGAAAUAUAAAUUGAGCUACCAUUACCUUUUAGAUGUGGCAACUUUCGACUUUUGAGGCACCUUGGAAUAUGCAUUCAGAAUCCUGCAUUUGGAAACCAAAUAAACAACGUUAAUAACAAUUUUACAAUAGAAAAAUUAAAAAUUGAUAAAUGGCAGUUGUAAUUUAUGUAUGCGUAAAGAUAGCUUCACAUCCAGGGUCCUCCCAUAAACAUGCUUGUAACAAGAAUUAGUUUGCCUCAACUGCUAGCAACUAUACAAUAGUAAAAAUCACUCUUAUGAACUCAACAAUACUAGGCACCAAUAAGAGUAUGAUACAGCCAUUCUAAAUGGAAGAGAAUACAACUGUUUUACAACUAUGUUGCAUCAGGAGAUAUGUUAGGAGGAUUAAUCCAGAUACCUUCCAACCCAAUUAGGAAAACUCAAGGUCAGAAACCAGGAGCUGCAACCAAACCUUACAAUCUUGAAGGAAGAAGGAGACUUGGGGCAUUUUUCCAGAUAGGUGACUUACAAGAUCUCCUGCCAAGAAAAUAUCUACUGCUUCGAACCUCCAUUGAAAUUUCUUUUCCGUUUUUCUUGUUUUGACUUGGAACUUUCCAGCAUCAUCUAUUUGAUCUUUUUUAAAGCUAAAAUAGCAAUCUAUGGGUUGUCAACAUCUUACCCCCCCCCCCCCCCCCGGGGGGCCCCCAAAAAAAAAACCAAUGAGUUGUCAAUAAAUAGCGCCUACUCAACUUAUGUUCUCCAAUGGAUGACAAUGUGCAAAUCGACCUAGCAGCCACAUUUUUCCCCCCUUUAAACCACCAUUAGGCAACUUUUCUAACCUUUCUUUAUUGCCCACGUCUACAGAACUAUCAUAUAAAGACUACAUUAUUAUUGGGAUAGAGAAAAAAAUACAGACUAUAUUAUUAUUAUAUCUCAUUUUAUUAAUUAACUAGUGCAAGACUUAUUUAGUGUCAAAUCAAGAACUAAUUAGAAAAGACAACUCAUGAUAAUACAGACCUUAAAAAGCAAUAGCUAGGACCACCCCAUGUACUCCUAUUUUAGCCUUCAAUAUCCUGGUAAAAACACAAUUAAGUCUUGCAAAAGAACAUUCACAAGUAAAUUCAACAUUAAUUAAGAUUAAGUAUCUACUGCACCUUCAAUCAAUGACUGGGUGAAUAGCAUGGUCAACCAUCCAGUUCCUGUAGCCCUCCUUGUACCUAUGUUAGUUACAUUUUACAUAUUAAGACACGAAAAUGAAGGAUCACAGCCUGGUAAAGAAAGCCAUUAAUUAAUAGUUUUUGUUUAAAAAGUUCUCGUUUAGAUCUUUCCUAUUCAAUGAAUCAAUGUAAUCCAAGGAGAACUCUUCCAUUUCAAGCAGUGUUAGAAGAUAAUUGGAAAGCCUAAAGAUAAUAUACAAGGACCAAGAUAUCAAUUAGGUCAAAUAGUGAAUGUCAAAUAUAAAAAAUAAAUAAAAGAAGUUGUACAUGAUCAUUUACUAUCAAGUUCUGUAAAACUGAAAAUACCAUUAUCCCUGUAGAGAUUCUCAAACAACUCUUUAGCAAAUUAUAAAAUAAUUAAAAAAAGAACGAAAGUUUAAAAAAAAAAAAUGUACAACAGCCAUAUCAGGAGAUGUUUUUCUUCUCAAUCUCAAUAUUUUCUAGCCGUAAAACAAUUGAAAAGCUUAACACCAAGUGAAUUAUUAAGAAUUCAUCAUUUAAAUUCCCAAAUCGCGAAAUGUUGGUGCAACUAGGAAAGUGCAAAUGCAAUCACUUUACUAACACAAGAAACAUCAAUAGUGAGAAGCCAACUUUGUAUCAAAUUUGAAACAGAUAGAUAGAGGUCAAAAAAAUUAUAAAGACACUCAAUUAAAAGCCUUUCAAACAGCUUUUGCAUGCAACAAGAACAAAUCAAAGGCGAUGUGAAUGUAUUGAAAGACUAAUUUACAAUCAUCUACAGGACAUAAAUAUCUUGGAUAACUACUCUCUAUACCCUACUGUCCCACUGAAAAUCAUCAAAUCCCUCCAAACAAAAAUGACAAAAUGGAUAAGAAUUGUGUGGUCAAACUUCAAUAACUUAGCAGCCAGAGCAAAAACUUAUGUAGACACGCAAGCCACUCAAAAUAGUCAUAUUGUUUGCUUUCCAAACACAAGCCACUUUGUAAUGAAUAUUCAUAAAUUGCUACUACCAUGUUUGUUAAAACACGUGAAAACUACCAUCACUAACUAAAUGUAACUAAUGAUCAUCAUCACGUUCAUGGAAUCACAUGUCUGACAGUAUUAAUUAGUGCAAAUGGCAUGCUUCUUAAAACUCCUUAUUUAUCACAUGGGCGCCAUUCCAAUCAACCAAUGAUUCUGAUCUAGUCAGCAUAUUCAACCUACGAGCCAGUAAUACCUCCAUUGCUUCUUUAGAUUUCUCAACAAAAUUCCACAUUCUAACCAUACUUCUGAACUUGUUGCUCCCAUAGACUAAUACAAUAUAAAGAUUUCUUCCCACACCACCUCAGCCCCCACUCCUAAAAAACCAAUUUAAAUUCUCAUUGACUGUACAACCUAUAGUCCAUACCAAAUUGAAAAACUUACAAAUAUAGAACCUCAAAGAAUCUUCUUGCGUUCCAUUUUUUACAGCAAGAAAAUUGACUUUUACCACAUGCAAGUCAACAAAUAAAACAAUCAUGUCUUUGUGAGAUGCACAUUUUCAGACGAAUCUGAAGAACAAUGAAACCAUAAAAACCUAAUAUGAGAACACUGAGGACUCCAGAUAUCAUCUAUAGAAUCUUUGGUCCACCCUUGCAUAAUGAAAAAAAAUUGAAGGCUUCGUCACCAACUCCCCAGGUUGUUUUGUUCUCCUAUCUCCUAAAUCUAAAGGAAAGGCAACCCGUUCAUUUUCCAAUCUUAAGGGGCACAGAACGACUCUGGUAUAAAAUAGUCAGUUUCUAUACAAAAAUAACUCCUUUGCACUUGGCAUUCCACAUCUCGAAAUAAAAAGCAUGCAAGGAGGAGAAUAUAAUAGCAUUAAACAAGUUUUAUUAACCAAACUUCAAAGAUGCCAGACAAGGCAAAAAAGGAAUCUGUACAAGCCAGAUCCCAAGAAUAAUAAUUCCAAUAUACAAUUCACGAAAACAAUAACUAAAACCAUGUUCAUCAGGCCUCAGCAGAAGCAACAUGUAAUAGCCAUACUCUAUUAUUUGAAACACAUUUCCAAGUUUGGAAAAGAUUCUAAACUAUUCUCGAUCUGUCAAUUAUUAACAUGUAAAACAUAAUAAUAUACGCUUAAACUACUACAGUAGUAAAACCAGUAAAACAACAAUACCUGCUAAAAAGAUUUGCUACCUCUUCACAUUCGCGAGCAUUGUAGAACCAAAUCCCAUUUACUUCUUGGGAUGCAUUUCGAUAUAACAAAUACGGAACCUGAACUUCAAACUCAAAAUCUCCCAAAAGAUUUUUCACUAAAUUAUCUGCACAUAUCCAAGAUAUUGAAGCUUCUCAGUGCAAAAACAUAUGCAAAAAGACAUGAAGGUUAGGAGACAUAACUAAAACUUAGCAACAACUGAUAAGCACAACAAGAAAUGAAAUAUAACACGAGUUGUAAACAAGAUAGACGCACGGUAUCUAAAUAAUUGUACCAACCCCCUCUCCUGAUUGUCAUAAAACGGCCAAUAUUUAACGCUAGACAACAACAUGGCAAAUACUCUAGCCUCUAUAUUAUUGGCAUAUAAAUAUUUUCGGUUGGGUACAUUAUAUUCUUCGUUCUAAAACCUCAAUCAUUAGCUAGUACUGUGAUAAAAUGAUUCAUCACUGAAAUUAAAACUAGUUCACGUACAAAUAAUCAAAACUGAAAUAGAAACAAGGACAAACCAACCCGUAUUACGUCGAUUCAUUACAACAAACUGAAAUCGAGGCUGUGUGUUCCUGAAAAUUGAAAAAAUAAUAAUUUCACCAACUUCAUAUGUAAUACAAUCUCCAAAACAACGAAUAUCAAAUGAAAAAAUGGAAAGCAUAAGAGAGAAAAGAAUCUAAUUUUAUUGACCUUUUGACGACGAAGAGAGAUCCUUCAACAUCCUUAUGACUCCAUUGGCUGAGGUCGAUGUUGAACUCGUAGAAGGUGACAUGAGCGGCCGUGAUGAGGAUCUCCUCAAUGAAUGGAUCGAUUCGCUGAAGAACUGUCAGGUUUAGGAGUUUUGUGCUCUGCUGGUCCAGAUUAGCCAUUAAUUUUCCGUUCUGCGACAUUUUUCAUAGUCCUUUUGGGCUCUGCCCCGAGCACAAGCGCCAUGGUUUUUCUGUGAGCUCUCUCUUUUGUAAAUAAAGUGUUUGAUGAGAUAGCCGAGAGAGAGUGAAAGAGUUGAGACUCGAGAUUGAUCUUGCUUUAACUUCUUUCAAACAUUUGGGAAAUAGCAUUUAGACCCCAAAAUUAGAUUUAUUAUAAUCAUUUUUUACCCGUACACUAUUAAUCCCUUUUAUUUUUUAAAUUGUCAAUAUUAAUGUAUUAGAAUAAUGUUAGAAAUCCCAAUUAUUAUCUCAAUGUUUCAAUCAUAACUAAUGUGAUAACUCAUCGGUGACUGUAACAUUAACCUAAUUAUUAAUGUUUAUCAUGAAAUGAUGAGAUUAUUAUUCAAGAAAAACUUAGUAAACAUCAAUGACUAAUAUAAUAUGACAAUUACAGCUGAAUAUUAGUACAAUAAUUAGGAUCCCUAAAGUUAGUGAAUGUAUUAUAAUAUAUGUGUGUUACACUAUUUUAUGUCUCUCAAAUUCAAUUAAGUAAUUUCAGAGACCUAACCUUUUAUUACAUUAAAUUAAGAAUGUAUACAUGAACAAAAGAUGUGCAGUUUUUGUUUUAUUUUUCACUAUUAUUUGCCAUUCAUCUACGUACGUCACUUGAUUUUUUGCGAUUAAUAUGCUUAAAUGGAUCUCUUUGAUAUAAAUAAAAUAAACGAAAAGUCUAAGAGAAAAAAAAAAUGAGGACCGAAAUUAUUACACCUACAACAAAUUUGCCCAGAGAGCAAUAAAUCAAACUUGCUUAGGAAGUUCAACAAUGAUUAGUUAAUAACUAAAAGAGCCUUCACCUAACAUGUUAAAGCUUCCGUCAAGCACAAACCCAUUGAAAGCUGUUUAGGUCCGUUUUCGAUCAUCGGAAAUUUGACAAAAUCAUAAAAACCCUCAUCUUAGAAAUUCCAAGCAUCAGGCAAUAGUCCGACUUUAUUGAUAUUGAGAGUAACACAAUAAAAGUUUCGUACAGAUUUUGCAAACGAAAAGCACAUAAUACACUUAACUAGGUGGAAAAAUUAAAGUGUAUGUAUUACAAACUGCUAACAAUAUACAAUAGUAAAAAUCACUCUUAUGAACUCACAAAUACUAGGCACCAAUAAGAGUAUGAUACAGCCAUUCUAAAUGAAAGAGAAUACAACUGUUUUACAACUAUGUCACAUCAAGAGAUAUGUUAGCAGGAUUAAUCCAGAUACCUAGGGAUGGCAACUGGAUCGCUCUAUAAUGGAUAUCCACAAUAUCCAUCCAAUUGGAUCGGAUAAUAUCCAUCCAAAAAUUUUUAGAUUUUGAAAUGGAUAUUUUAAAAUUAUAUCCAAAUGGAUAUGGAUGGAUAUAGAUAAUUAUUUUUACCCAAUGGAUAUCUAUUUAACCCAACACAAGUUUAAAAAAUUUUAAUUUUAUAAAAUAAAAAAUAAAAAAUAUAAUAAACAAACAAUUGUAAAAAUAUUAUAUUAACUAGUGAAAAUUUUAAAUUCAUCUUAUAUUAAAAACUAAAGUUUUCAAAAUUAUCCUUUAAUUUUUUAACUUAUUUAAUAUUAUUAAAAAUUAUUAUUUUAUUUUAUUAAUUUAAUAUUAUAAAUGGACAUCCACCGGAAAGUCACCGGACCUCCUCCGGAAUUCACCGGAAAGUUGCCGGACCACCGUCGACUUCGCCGGAAUUCGCUGGAAAGUUGCCGGACCACCGCCACCAACCACCAGACCGCCAUUUUAUAUAUAUAUAUAUAUAUAUAUAUAUAUAUAUAUAUAUAUAUAUAUAUAUAUAUUAUUACUAAUAUAAAUAGUUUAAUAACCAAAUUUAAUAUUGGAAUUUUAAUUAUUUUAUAUUAUUAUUUUUAUAUAAUAAAAAUAAAAUAUCCAUAGAUAUUCAUGGGUCUCCAUAGUUAUAUGGAUAAAAUCUAUAUCCAUGUCCAAUAUUAAAUACUGGAUAUGGAUAUAGAUAUAUCCAUUAUCGAUAAUUAUGGAUUUGUGUUUGGAUGGAUAAUAUCCAUCCAUAAUUGAAUAUUUGCCAUCCCUACAUAUACCUUUGAACCCAAUUAACCAACUCGAGUCAGAAACCAGGGGCCCCCAACUGAACCUUACAAUCUUGAAGGAAGAAGGAGACUUGUGGUCCAGAUAGGAGACUUACUAGAUCUCCUGCAAAAGAGAAUAUCUAUUGCUUUGAACCUCCAUUGAAAUUUCUUUUUCUCUUUUUCUUGUUUUAACUUGGAACUUUCCAGCAUCAUCUAUUUGAUCUUUUUUGAAGGUAAAAUAGCAAUCUAUAGGUUGCCAACAUGUUAUUCUGCCAAACCCCACCCCCCGGGGGACAACAAAUAGUGCCUACUCAACUUAUGUUUUCCAAUGGACGACAAUAUGCAAAUCGACCCAGUAGCCACAUUUUUCCUCCCUUUCAACCACCGUUAGGCAACUUUUCUAACCUUCCUUCAUUGCCCACACGUACAGAACUAUAAUAAAAAGACUACAUUAUUAUUGGGGUAGAGAAAAUAUGCAGACUAUAUUAUUAUUACAUCACAUUUUACUAAUUAACUAGUGCACGACUUAUUUAGUGUCAAAUCAAGAACUAAUUAGAAAAGACAACUCUUGAUAAUACAGACCUUAACAAGCAAUAGCUAACAACAUCCCAUAUACUCUUAUUUUAGCCUUCACUAUCCUGGUAAAAACACAAAUAAGUCUUGCAAACGAACAUUUAUAAGUAAAUUCAACAUUAAUUAAGAUUAGGUAUCUACUGCACCUUCAAUCAAUGACUGGGUGAAUAGCAUGGUCAACCAUCUAGUUCCUGUAGCCUUCCAUGUACCUAUGUUAGUUACAUUUUAUAUAUUAAGCCAUGAAAAUGAAGAACUCUUCCAUUUCAAACAGUGUUAGAAGAUAUUUGCAAAGCCUAAAGAUAACAUACGAGGACCAAGAUAUACACAGAUAGUUUCUUUACGGGACUAAAGAGCUUUUUUAGAUGUUAAAACUGUUUCAAACUCUUUUUCUUGUUUGGUUUAACUAAGGAAGAGCUUGUGGAAGAUUAAAAAUGAUGUUUCCUGUUCUCUGUAGGAAGCUUUUAGGAGAUUUUUUGGGUUUUUUUGAAAGGUUGAAUUGUCAAAAAUACCUUGAUGUUAUUGUUUGCUAAAAGAUGUUAUGGACAACUAAACAACCAACAACAUUUUGUUAAAAGCUCUACUAGUGUAGGAUCUACUUAAAGAAGCUAUACCAAACAGAUUCUUAGACUAAAUAACUCGAUCUUAAGUUUGUAAAAUUGGGCUCAGAAUCUCCACUAACAACCCCGCUUCGGUGAGAAAGCCCAAGCCUGUUACUUUGUAUAACCUUAUUCUGUAUGUUUGAUUGCAGGAACUGGCCGAUCAUACCGACGAGGUGAGUGUGCAACAUGAGGUGCUUGACGGGAUGUUUACUUUCUAUGAUACAACUAAAGCUAGCCUCAACAUAUAUCAGGUGCCUGCUUGUUUUUACCUUCUAGAUACUAAUAUUGUUUAGACGUGUAAUCUCUCUCUCCAUUGAACGCUAGACGGCUCGUCUCAAGCCUUCUACGUACAUCAGAGUCCUUCUUUAGCUUUUUAUGUAUAAAGUUUUGAUCUUUUUCCUUCAUUUGCUUGAAGCUCAUUACUGCAGAUUUUUUUUACAGGUUGCUAGUGUAACAUUCGACUUGCUGUUGCUUCUAGUGUUGGGAUCGUAUUUAAUUGUGCUUUUCAGCUUUCUUGUCACAACAACUUGGGUAUUACUCUUUCUCCAUAUCAAGCUUGAAGUUCUAAAUUUCAGUUUUAUCUUUUAUUUGAUGUUUUAUAAUUUCAUUGCAAACAGAUUAGAAUAGAAACUUCAAAAGUUCCAACUGACUAGUCCCGUGUAACUUUUUCAGGGAAUAUUUUCUCUCAUAACAACUACGAAUGUGUUAUGGUUUAGCUCAGUGACACAAAGGAUAGAAAAUCUAAGAUGCGAAAAAUUUUUGUUGAGAUUCAUUUUUCAUCCUGAUGUUACAGCUGGCCUUUUUUUUUUUUUUUGGCAGAGAAUAAUGCUUGUGUGAUUUCUGAACUUGGUGAUUGUUGAAAUGAGCUGAAAAUGAGCUGGAAAUGUGUUUGGUUAAUGAGAAAGAGAGCAAGAAAAUGAAAGAAAUCUAUUUCACUUUUUAUUUAUCAGCAUGAUUACAUUCACAAUAAAUCUAAGCUGCUAUUUAUACUUAAAUGAAUACACACGAGAAUCUUCUUGCUAGAUACUUCUAGAAACUCUACACGCACACUCACAUUGAGCUAGUGGUUACUAAAACCGUUACAACGAUAUUGCCAGCUCAGCAUAACCAACUUAUAACUAACACACUCAGCUGCAGGGGAAACCAUCAAGCUUACUGUGCAUCCUCUGUACUCAAGCUUCUUUAAGCAUGCUCUGCAGAUCAUACUCAAGCUUUUUUUUUCAUAGAAGUUGCAAUCUUUACGUUAUAUACUAGUUUGACUAGGCUAUAUAAGGAAGCUAUAUGAAAUUAGAAAAAUAAGCUAUACUAGGAAAGAAUAAAUAUAUGUACAGAAAAUUAGGCUAUAAUCUCUGACUUUAAACAAAUUUAAUAUCAAUUUUCUUCUGGAAGUUGUCUCGCAUGGGGCGCAUCAGUAUUGUAACGUCUGAUGGGUCUUACAUUAUCCACAAAAAUAACUCGUCCAUCUAGUACCUGCAAGUACAUACUCUGAGAUGCUUAAACUCAACAAUAUAAGCAUGGAAAAUUAGAGAAAAAUGAUGCAAUUUUACCUUCCCAUUCAUGUCUGCCGAGGCUUUUUGGGCUUCCUCUUCUGUACUGAAAGUCACAUAUCCGUAACCUUUUGAUCUAUUCUUACCUUUAUCCAUUAUUAUUGUAGCUGCAAACAGAAAAGAAUCGGAUAUUACAAAAUAGUGAAGAGGGAAGAGGGGUUGAGACUUAAAACAGAAAUAGACCAAACCCUCAGUGACGUGGCCAAAUUGUGAAAAAGCAUCAGCUAACAUUUCUUUAGUGGUUGAGAAAGAUACGCCUGCAAAGGAUGCCAGUUAAUUUUAUCAUAAUUUUAGAUGGUAAGAUUGCAAAUUCUGCAGCCAAAGGUAGUACGGAACUGAAUGAAGGAAAUCAAAUAUGAAUAUGUUUUCAAUCUCAGAAUAUUAAGAGUAGCAUAAGUAACUUGUGAAACAGUUACAAGUUCAACGGAAUUAACUGAUGGCAUGGUUGAAUUUUGUAAAUAUUUGAUAUUUUGAACCGAACACGGCAAACAGAUGGAUCCAGAUAAUCAAGAAAAACAUCAAUUCCAUGCAACCAAAUUAGUGUGGGCAAUGCAAUUGAGCAACACUAUAAAAUUAUUCAAAGAAAUCUCUAGGUCAGUAUCCAAAUAUAUUUCUGAAAAUGUUUUUUUCUCAUUAGCGCCGCCAUUUUUGUAAUAGAGGGUAAAGAAAUAAGUAACAAAGUAAGAGGUGAGCAGAAGCGGCCCAAUUUAGCUAUAUGCCAUGCAUGCGAUCAAAAUUGAACGGUUAAAUGGCAGCCACUAUGUUACAUCUUGUGUAAGUAACAAACCGCCUACAUGGAUCGUUGGAUUUGGGAAUAUGAAAUCCAAUGGAUAAUAUUGAAUUUAACGAAAAAUAGAUUACAGGUUGCAUUAGUCCAAGUUUAUUUCAAACAAACCAGCUGACGAAAUAGCCGCUAAUCAAAUUUAAAAGGGAAAAAAAAAUCAAAUUAUAGGUUAUAGAUCUUAUUUCCAUCUUAAAUCUAUGUCUUUCGUGGUGACUCAAUUUGUAAACUAAUUUAUAAUUUGGAUCUAUAUUAGAGCUAAUGCUUCCCUAAAUAACUAAGAAAAUUUUCUUUUCAUUGAUUAAAUAUUUAUUUCCAAUAUCUUGUAUAUGUAGGAUUUGAAAAGAGGGAAAAUAGUAGGGAUGAUAAUGAGAGAAGAUAGAGAUGUCGAUUCUCAAAUCUAAUAUUAGUGCUAUACUUAUAUUCCUAUACUAAAUAAAUUAUCCAAGGUUCGUGCUUAACGAUACGUUGCAAAAUUUUAAUUUCUAUUUAAAGCUCUGUCUAAUAUGGCUUUUCAUAAAGCUUAGAGAAAAGUAGAGCUUUUACCAAAAAAAAAUUAAUUAGAAUUGUCAAUGAUAAAUUUUAAAAAGUACUUUAAUAAAUAAGCUUUUAAAGUUAUAUAUAUUAUGAAAGAAAUGAAAUAAGAUUAUAUAAUAAAUUAAGAGUAUCUUAGAUAAUUGAACUUUAAAAAAAAAACUCGCUAAGAGGUUUAAAAUUUGAGUUUUAAUAGUGGAUACAAAAUAGUUUAUUUAAUUCUCAAAAGCUCUACUCAAAAUAGUUUAUUUAAUUCUCAAAAAAUAUUUUUUUCAUUGAGUAAAUAAUACUAAACAUGCACUAAAGUGUUAGGACCAGAAGUUGUACAAAAAAUGAUGGCUACAACUUAAAUUAUGAAUGGAGUAAUCGGAGAAUAUUGAAACCCGUUUAAUUUGGAUCGUGCAUUGAGGGACGAAAGGAUAAAAAAUUUAAUUUUGAAAUUGCUGUUGGGUACGGUACAAUGACUUACCGUUGACAGCUUUUGCAACCGGAUUACAAUCGGUUAGUUCAAUAAUUUUAUAUCCCCAUUUAACCGCCACGUGCUGCUGUUACAUGGGUCAAUUAGUCAUGUCAUUACUGUUACUUACAGAUGCCGUAACAUAACCGGACCCUGGUUAAAUUCUGUUGUUUCCAAUAAUUUUAUGCUGUAUCUUCUUUAAUAAUAAAGAAAACUUGCAUUAAAAUUAAAAUUAGGGUAAUACCUGAUUUUAUAAAUAGAUUGCAAUGUAAUUUUGAAAAAUAAAACAAUAAUUUACAAAAUGUUUAUAACAUAAUUUUAAUUUUUUUUCAAAAAGGAAAAAGAACAAAAGUAAGAAAUAGAGAAUUAGGGCUACAAACUUUGUAUCUUAAACGGCCGUUAGAUUAUUUGUAAAUGAAAGCAACGGUCAGAUAUUGGUGGAUUAUGGAAACAUGUAAUCAUAAGGACUGUGAGUUUUUUUUGUUACAUUAAUAUAUUACAAUCAAAUUCUAUUAGUAUUUACAACUAGAAUUUCAUUUGACUAUCUUUGAUAAUUCUAAACUAGUACAACCCAAAUUCUUAUUCUCACAUAAUAUCAAAGAGAGAUAUAUAUUCUUCUCCUCUAUUAAUAAAGAGACAUUUUUAUUUCCUUUUAAUAGUUAGGACUCAGAACUCAUACACGCUAGUUUGAGAGUGUUGGGUGUGACAAUGAGCCAGGAGACCAUUGACAAGUACAAAAGAGUGGUAGAAAUUAAUUCAAUCCGCUACACACGCUAUUGCAACCAAAUUGAGGGCCCAUUUUUGUUUAUUUGGUUGAAAAAUAGUUUGCAUAAUUAAUUCAAACCGCUACACACGCUAUUGCAACCAAAUUGAGGGCCCAUUUUUGUUUAUUUCGUUGAAAAGCAGUUUGCACAAUUAAUUCAAACCGCUACACACGCUAUUGCAUCUUUUGAAAAAGAAAAACAGAAUAGUUUUCUAAAAUUAAUUCCGAGAAGAAGAUUAACUAAUAAUGAUGUUAGAAAUUUUAAUAUUUGAGUCUUAAUAUUAUGUAUCACUCAUUUAUUAAAUAAUAGAUUUCAUAAUUUAUAAAAUUACUUAACCACUUGAUAAAUGUUAUAUUUGUUGGGACUAAAUUGGGACUUAAAUGUUGGAAUAUCUAGUAUUGCAUUAAAAAAUAAAUAAAAACAUAACAAUUUAUCUUCACUUGACUAAUUGUUUUUACAUCACAACUAACCUUAAUUAUUUUGAAAGUUACAGUAUUAUUAAAUUGUCCUAACUGGUUAUCAAAAGUUGAAGCAUGUUAAAAUAAAAAAAAUUACCAAGAAACAUGUGCUUAAACAGAGGUUAAGGCUAUGAACAAUUAAGAAGAAACUCUUAAUUUGGUCCCAGUUAGUAUAAUAAUCAUCUAUUGAGCGGUAAAAUAUUAAUUUUAAUAGUGAUGAAAUCCAAUAUAUAAUAGAUUAAUAACACACAUAAAUUAAAACUUAACUGUCAGAAAUCAUAACAUUACUCUACUCUUCAGUAGAGUUCUCUUAACAGAUUAUGUGAGAUUGCCUACAUUAAAAAUAGGUUAAGACUGCUUGUUGAAAGCAAUAUUCGCUUUUUCAUUAUAUCCAUAACUUUGUUGGGUCCCUCUAUGGUGCCGUAAUUUUUUUUACGGUAUUAAUAGUGUAACAAAUUUGUACCAUUAGAUAUAAUCAACGGUACACAUUAUUUUUAAUAAUGAAAAUAUUUAAUUAUUUCACAAAUGUUAUAACCGGUUAACAAACCGGUUGCAAAACCUAUUUUAAAUUUAAAAGGAAAGAAAAUAGAGAUAUAAUAAAACUCAAUCUCCUUCUUUAUCUCAUAAAAUUCGUAAUCUGUUUAUCUCCUUUGUUGUUGUAUUGAAAUUGGAUUCCUCAAUGCUGUCUCAGUUCACAAAUGAUUAAUCGUGUCAAAUCGUAAGCUUGUUCUUAUCGUUCAACUUUUUCUCCAUUUAUUGCCACAUUUAUUUGAUAGGUAGGCUUUUAAAUUUAUUGCUCGAUGGUGACAUUAGACAAGGAAUCACAGAUUUGAUGUUCUUUGUUGUACUAAAUUCAUAUCAAAUCUUGCUUUGAUGCUAUAAUAUAUUUAGUUACUACCUUACAUUUUCUUUUUUCACAUUUGAAAACAAAUUCUUUUUAUUCAUAGGAUUACAUAAAGUGCGCAGCCCUGAAGUUUGAACUUCAAAGGAUAAAGUUGCAUUGCAGCAUGUUAAGCAGCAAAGCUUCUUCACUGCAUUAGAUAGAAGACGGUGAAUCAAGUGCAGCCAAGACUUGGCUGAGUCAGCAAUUAACCACCAAUCGUUUAAGAAAGAGGGGCAAAGCAAGUUGAGGCCCACUUAUUAAUCUUAGCCUCUGAUUCCAUUCUCCUUUUCUCCGUCCUGAUUUGAUUAUCUCCAGCAGUGACGCUAAAGGUUAAACUGGCAUGAUCUUGCCCACAUAUAAAUGUAUUUUUUUUUUUUAGGAUCUGAAGGGGCAAAUUUUUUUUUCAAGUUUGUUAUAUGAUCUUUUGUGAAGACCUGAAGAUACGAGAGUCAGAUUAAUAAUUUUGUCUCUCUUAGGCUUUAUGCAGUGGGAAUGAACUUUCUCUCUUUUAAUUCUCUGCCAUUUUCUCAAUGAAGGCAGCAAGAGAAUAUUCAGUCUUUCAAAGUCUCAACAUUCAUAAUUUGGCCAGUCUAGUUGUUUACCUUGCAUCUGCUGGAGUAUUAUAUCGCCAAGAGAUUUUUCCGUUGCACUUUACGAAUUUAUAUUAUUUUGAGGAGGGAAUUCAGCUAACUAUUAAUAUCAUACAAUUGAAAUUUAAAUGUCGGUCUUUAAAUUCUAAAGAUUAAAGACAAGCCUAAUAUGAAAAUACAGAUGUUAAAAUCUUCAUUUUUGUUUAUUGAUACUUUAUUUGUUAGUAUCAUAAUUUUAGAGAUAUAUUUGAUGUUACAUGAUUGACUAAAUAUUAACAUUAAAAUGCAGAUGGAAAGAAAAAAUGAUGGAGGGCUCCAUAAAAGCAUAAAAAGAAACGGAGAUGGUGAAGCAAACUUUCGAAAUUGCAACCAUGAGAAGGAAUUGACAAAGCUUAAUGAAAAAAUGGAUGGGAUGACAUUUAAUCUUGUCGCUGUCAGGCAUGAACUUGGUGAGCUGAAGAGGAACAAUUUAGAUACUUAUGCAUUGGUACAAAAAAUGUAUAGUGUAGUUGAAGCACUUGAACGUAAUAUAACUCAUAUGCAAUCACACGCAUGGAAGGAAAAGAUGAACUCUUCUAGUAAAGAUGUUCAAAAUAGUAAAAAUGAAUCAAGUGGUCAAAAUUUCGUGGAAAAGGGAGAUGAGUUUGGGGUGAAGAUCGCAGAGAUUAAGGACAAGAUUGAAGACGCAUGUGAUGAAAAUUUAUCAUUGAAAAACUUAUUUGUGUAUAGGAAACAAAAAGAGAACCAAAUCUUCCACAAUGUUGUUAAAAAGGUAUGAUAAUAAACUAUUAUUCUACAUUUUUUUUUCAAAAAUAUUUGUAUAGCACAUUCAUUAAACAAAAAAAUAAUAAUAAUAAAAUUCAUGUUCUUAUGCAUGUAGGAUAAAGCCAUGGAUGCAGUUGAUUUUGUGGAUUUGGUAUCAUCGGUGGAAGUAGAUGCAAUUGAGGAUAAAAAGGUGCGUCCUCGAAAGCCCAGUCGUUAUAAAAAAUCUCCUUAUGAAAAUUUUACAAAAAAAAAAGGCUAUCGCAAGAAGGAGUUCGAUUUAUCCAAACAUGGAGCUUCUUUUUCGGAGGAAGAAUGGUAUAUUUUACAGUAUAUUUUUCAUGAACAACUAGAUAAAAGGUAUGGAACUAUUUAAAUAUAAUCAUAUUUUAUAUGUUUGUAUUUUGAUGUUAUUAUUUGUUUUAAUUAACUAUUAAUGUGAGUGUAUAACUUAUGCAGAGAGAAAAUUGUAAUGACAAAACGACAUAUUGUUACCCGCUUCUUAAUGUCUUCUUUAGCUCCUAAUGUUUGGAUAUUUGAUGAGGUAUAUUGUGUUAGUGUGUGUGUCUAAUAUUCAGAGCGUAAUAAGAUUAUAUGUAUUUAAUUUAUAAUUUAUUUUUCAUUUGGUAGUGCAUGUUUUAAUAAUAAUGUUGUGAUGAUUUUAUUCAUAGAUCAUAAGUUGCUAUGCUGAGUAUUUAACUAGAAAGGAGAGUUUGAAGCAAGAUAAUGAGACUCGAAAUUGGUUUUUACCAACUCUUUUUGGGGUAUGUUAUAAAUUUUUGUUGUUACAAAUAUAUAAUAUGCUUUUACAAAAAAAUUAGAAUUUUUUUAAAAUUAUAUCUUACCAUCUUCAUAUAAUUAUUAAUUUAUGAAUGUUGUAGCAAAUAGUGGCGAAUGUGUCAGGUGUUUCAACUAUUGAUAGAUCAGAGAUUGAAAUUUCGGUUCGUAAACAUAACAUUUGUGAAUUUUACAUGGGUGCACUCAAAAGAUGUGAAAAGGUCAGGAAUAUUAUCAUAUGUUCAAAAAACAAAAAAAUUUAUUUACUCAAAUAUCAUAUGUUUUAUUAUUAUCAUUUGAAGGGAGUAAUGAUUAAUACAAAAUUAGUGUAUUGUUGCACAGAUAUAUGUUCCUCUUUAUGACGGGCUUGCAAAACAUUGGUAUCUUGUAAUAAUGAAUAUAAAAGAUAAGACUGCUGAGAUUUGGGAUUCUUUGCCUAAUUCUGAAAUAGAACCAAAUCAUCGUCAAGAAAUCGUUAAGCAAAAUGUAAGUUCAAAUUUUUUAUUUGUUUAUAUGAAAUUACUAGAUGCAAUAUAUAUUAACUAUCAUUAUUAUUAUGCAGUACAUGCAUUGGNNNNNNNNNNNNNNNNNNNNNNNNNNNNNNNNNNNNNNNNNNNNNNNNNNNNNNNNNNNNNNNNNNNNNNNNNNNNNNNNNNNNNNNNNNNNNNNNNNNNCCUAGUCUUGCUUCGUGAUAUAGCCUUUAACUUUCCUUCUGAUUGGGUAUUUCGUUGACUUUGACAUUUUAUAUCCAAAUAAUGUGCCAAUUCAACCAAAUGGAAAUGAUUGUGGCUUGUAUGUGAUGAAGUUUAUGGAGACUCCAUGUGAGAUGUUAUUCCCAACUUAUAAGGUAACUUAAUCAUACAAUUUAUAUUUCUUAGUUUGCACAAUACUUUAAUCAAUAUUAAAUUGUUAUUAAUUCUAUUAUAUGCAGUAUGAAUCGGAUGAAGAAAGAUUUCGUCUUGCGCUACUCCUUGUAAAUGGUGAUGCAAAUGAAGUAAGAGAUAGUGUUAUACAAAAAGCACUAUCAUUCCGUGGUCCUAAGACGAAUGUUAUUGCAACUAGUAAAGUUAGAACUAAAGUUGCUUCUCAAAAAAAACAUCGUUCAAUUAAUAAAGUUAGAACUGUAAUUGGUACUGGAGAAUAUUUGAAGAAACCAGGAAGAAAAUCCAAUUGAUCUGCCUAGUAGAGGUUUAAUAAAUUUGGUAUUGGACGUAAUUUGUAUUUUGUCACUUUUAAUUUUUUUGUCCCCUCAAUUGAAUUUUAUAUUCAAUGUAAAGUUUUUAUUUGGAUUACUUAAUUUUCUUUUUUAGUUUUUAAGUUUUUGGAUUACUCUUUAUGAAAAUUUUGUGUCUUGUUACUUUCAAUUUUUUUUGUCCCCUUUAAUUGACCUUUGUAUUCGAUGUAAAGUUUUUAUUUGGAUUACUCAUUAAGUUUUGUUAGCUUUUGAGUUUAUGGUCUCUUCCAAUUAAAAACUUUCAAAAAAUAAUAGCCUGCUUUUUUUUUUUUUGUGUGUGUUUUAAGUUCAGCCUACAAGUGAAUGACUGUAAGUCGUUAACUAAAAAUCUAAAAAUGUCAAAUGUCAAAUAUUCUUCCGCUUCUCAUCACCUUCUUUUCCAACCUAUAAUAUGCCAAACAAAAAUGCAUCAAUAAAAAUAAAUUUAGAUAACAGCUAAAAUAUUCAACCUUUGUAAGAAUUAUCCUAAUAUAAAUAUACCUCAUUAAGUACUGGACAUUUGCGUCUAUUGUGUCCAGGUAAUUUGCAAUACCCACAUUUUUUCAAAUUGACGCCUUUAUUAAAUCUUGCACUAGGAGCACCUUUCGUCUUCACACUUAAUGGAUCUUUUAUAAUAGCAACAUUUCUCUUCUCACUGGACCAUCUACCUCUUUUCUCUUCAAAAUUCCCACUCAACUCUAACAUUUCAGACUUAAGUUGUGUGAUAAGACCCUUUAAUUUCAAGUAUCCAGCAUCUGUCAUCGAGGCAUAGAAAAAUGUGUCUAGUUACAGAAGAAAUUUACAGAAUCAAAUUUUGACUUCGCUUCUUAAAGAUAUUCACGAUUUAGUGCACAAAGGUCACAACCGUCUAGAAACCACACAAGAUCCGAUGUUUCUGAAUUAACUGAUAUCAAUUAACAAGGAAUAAAAUUAAAAACUAUAUAUCUAUAGAAAGAUUUAUUUUUCAGGAGUUCAAAUAAUUUUACGGUUUUCUAUUUGAAGUUUUCUACAUGAAGAUAUGGCUUAAAGAAUGCUGACUGCUCAAAAUCACUGAAGCAACCAAGUCUAUGAUUAUCAGAAAACUUGCAUGAUUAAACUGUACUGAUCUAGAAUAUAUGAGAUUGCAUACUAUAUAUUUUUUGAUAGAUAAAUAUGUCUAGUUACAGAAGAAAUUUACAGAAUCAAUUUUCGACUUCGCUUCUUAAAGAUAUUCACGAUUUAGUGCACAAAGGUCACAACCGUCUAGAAACCACACAAGAUCCGAUGUUUCUGAAUUAACUGAUAUCAAUUAACAAGGAAUAAAAUUACAAACUAUAUAUCUAUAGAAAGAUUUAUUUUUCAGGAGUUCAAAUAAUUUUACGGUUUUCUAUUUGAAGUUGUCUACAUGAUGGCUGAUGUGUUUCAGCAGAUAUUACAAGAGGAAAUAUAUCUUCUCCCAGUGAUGGUUUUGAGAGAUCGUCCAACUCAUAGAAGCCUAAGUCGAUGCCUGUUCCCGAAGGCUGACGAAACUUCUGACCCAAUCCUUUCUUAAAGGGAAUUUUUGCCGGCAUAUAAGCUUCAGGAAACAGUGGAACAAACUUACAGUUGGGCUCUUCCUUGGCAAAGUAGAAAACAGUGAUGCUGCAGAUAAGAAAAGAAAAUAAAGAGAUAUGGCUUAAAGAAUGCUGACUGCUCAGAAUCACCAAAGCAACCAAGCCUCUGAUUAUCAGCCAAAUUCCAUGAUUUAACUGUAUUGAUCUAGAAUAUAUGACAUUACAUAAUAUAUAUGUUUGGAUAGAUGAAUGUAUCUAGUUGUGGAAGAAAUUUACAGAAUCAAGAUAGACUAAUAAUAACUUAAUAUUAACAAAAUUUUUAUUGUACAUGUUAUUUUAUCAAUUAUAUUUAUUGUAACACUUUAUUUGUAUCAUAUGAUUUUUAUUUGUUAUUUUUAUCCUAUUACUAUAUUUAUAUUUAUUUAGAUUGAUUUAGUCAAAAGGUAUAAUAGUCAUUUAGGAAAUUAAGAGGGUCUAUGUGACUAUUUAUGAAACUAAAGGAACAUGUAUAAUUAUUUUAGCAAAUCUUAGGGGUGUGGGUGGUUUUUUCCGAAAUUAAUAUUGAUUUAAAAUUAAAAAAUUAAUAUUUACCUGUAACCUGUAAGUUACCUGCUCUAUUUUAAUUAAUUAUCUAAUUAUCUAUUAUAUUAAAUGAAUGAUUCAGAUUAAAACUCUUAUAUCUAAGGGUCCACAUUAGUUCCACUAUCAAUACUGUAAAAAUAAAUACAGCAUCAUAAAGAAAUCCAACUUUGAAUUGAUAAAGUUGUAUUCAACAGCUCUUGAAAAGACUAAGCUGGUCUUCUUUGCAUUUGAUCACUGGUAUUUCAGUUAAGUUUGUCGUUUACUUAAAUUUUUCUUGCUUUCAAUUUCCACUGUUGUUUUUUUUUUAAUAAAAUAAUUUGUUUAACUAGUCAUAGAAAUAAGAGAGAAAAUGGGCCAUUUCUUGACUCAAAGUCAAUUAUAAUUAUCAAAACUUGAGCGGACAUUGCAUGCCUAAAUUCCACGCACCCUAAAACGGUUUGAUUUGCUUUCACGCGUUCAUGAUUUUGCAUGAAAGAGAGUGCCUCUCGUCUCUUUCCGGACAGUGACUACAGUCAUGGAAAAAUUAUGUUAACGUGACGAAUACAAAACGUUAUUACAUACAAGAAUAAGUUUUUGGACCCGAGACUUGAGGGAGGUUCUAUCUAAUUCUAAAGAUUGUAACCAAAGCAUUAUCCCCAAUUUUUUUAAGUUAAAUAAAAUAAAAUUUAUGCUUAAGUAUAAAUAAUUUUUUAAAGUUAAAUAUAAAAUAAAAUUCAUGAACUUCCAAGAAAGAAAGAAGACCCUUCACCUUCUUCGUGACAACAAAUGAUGUUGAUAUGACAAAUACAAGCGCUAGUACAGGGAACAGCAUAAGACCGAGACUUGAUAAAUAUUAAAUAUAUAAAAUAAGUGGAGCAAACGAACAGAAUAAUAGAUUUUUAUAAUAUUCUUCAUAAAAAUCCAAGUUUUGAGCUGGCCCAUAAGCUUAUCUAGUGAAGUCUGGGUAUCCGCGUUGCCCAAGGUUCCGUUUGAAUUCAGGCUGUGCUGAUAUUUAUGACAUCCGACGGAGAGGAAAUAUUUUCAGUUGACUAAAUUAAAUAAAAGUAUAUUAUAAUCAUAUUAUAUAUUAGCAACAAAAAUAAAAAGAAAUGAAGAAAAACGCAUGCAAGACUUAGAGAAGUCAAUUAAAAGAUGGGAGUAUCAUCAGUUCAAUUGGUUAUAAAUAGCGUAGAGCCAUCCUCUCGUUGUUGCAGAAGAGAGACAGAAAGAGUGUGUGUAGGUGAUUAUAAUUAAGAAGAUAUAAUGUGUGGUUCAAAAAGAGUGUGGGUGAGUGAGUUAAUACUCAUAUUAUUAGUAGUAAAAGGGUGGUGGAGUGAGGGAUGUUUGGAGCAAGAGAGGUCUGCUCUCCUCCAACUCAGACAUUUCUUCAAUGAUGAUCAACGUCUUCAAAACUGGGUAGACGAUGAGAAUAAUUUAGAUUGUUGUCAGUGGGAAGGGAUUGAGUGCAACAACACCACUGGCAGUGUGAUUAAAUUAGAUCUAGCACAAACUCGAAAAUGGGAAUCAGCGAAGUGGUAUAUGAAUGCCUCUCUGUUUACUCCCUUUCAACAAUUAGAGUCUCUUGAUCUAAUUGGGAACAAUAUAGCUGAUUGUGUUAAAAACGAAGGUCAUUAAUUUACUCUAUUUUAAUUCUUCCUCCUCGUAAUUUCUUACAUCUAUCUGAUCCCUUUUGGCUUUUGUUUAAUUUGUACGUGAUACAAUAAAAUUAUUUUUUUUCAGGUUUGGAGAGGUUAUCAAGGUUGAACAACUUGAAGUUUCUUUUUUUAGAUGAUAACUACUUCAACAACAGCAUCUUUUCAUCUCUAGGUGGUCUUUCAUCACUCAGACACUUAUCAUUGGCUGUUAAUAGAUUGAAUGGAAGUGAUGAUAUUAAAGGUAAGUAAGCUUCAUCCCUUCUCCCGUGUCCCAUCUUUGUGGAUCUUAUUUCAUCGACCAGCUGGAAGUAUUGAUACGAGAUCUAGCUAGACUCUUGCUAGUUUAAGCUUCAAGGCUUUGAAUAUUAUAAAAAUAGGUUUAAGGAAUUAUCAAUAUAUGCAAUUUUCUAUGCUUCUCAUAAUCAGACACAAUUCAAUCUAAUUAUUUCGUAUGUCCUCUCUUCAAAAGUAAAGAAUUGUACACUAAACGGAAAUCGACAUUGUAGCUUUUUAUUUUUUCUAAUGCUCUUUCUUUGUUAACGAGUUUAUAUCCUGAGAGUGCAUUGGAUUCAAAAAAAAAAAAGUUUUGAUGUUCAAGGUAAGCCAUAAUAACAUGCAUCUUAUUUAUCUGUCUAUAUCUAAAUUUGUGCACUGAAUUUAGUAUUUUAGUUAGUGUGAAGGGAUCAGAUAUUGGCUUCCAUAAACCAACUUGUAUUUACUUAAUUAAUUAAUUAACACCAUUUAGUAUUUAACAAAUUAAAAUUUCGUGUUUAAUUUGUCUUAUUUUUUAUUUUUUGAAGCAAGAAUAAGGUAUAGCAGUAGGUAAAGUUGAAAUACAUAUUUAUUCCUUACAAAUUUAAAUUCGUUUUCAGCCAAAUAUACCUACUUAAAACCACUCAAUCAUGCCAUUGGCAACAGUUUUUUAGGUUUUUCUAGUUAACCGUGUACUUUUUUGCUUAUUAAUAAAAUUCUUUUGUGCUGAGAUUUAAAAUAAAGAAGGAGAAAAUAAGUUAUUUAAUUAACCUUGUUUUAAGUGUUGGCAUAAAUGCAGGACUGAAUUCCUUGAGUAACUUGGAGGAGCUGGACAUGACAGGCAAUGCAAUCGAAAAUCUUGUGGUUCCUAAAGGUAUACAAAAUGUUCAAAUAUUAAUAAUUUGGAGGACAGUUUAAUUGAUUUGAUUAGGGAAUGCCCAAAUGACACUUACCCAAAAUAAUUUAAUCCAAAAUUGUAUCCCAAACAGAUUUCAUAGGUUUGAGGAAGUUGAAUACCCUUAAUUUAGGGGGAAGCGAAAUUCGAAUGAUAGAUGGAAGCAAGGUGUUGCAAUCAAUAGGAUCACUACCGUCCCUCAAAACACUUUGCCUUUCAUAUACUAAUUUUACGGGAACAGUAGUUAAUCAAGGUAAGUAAAUCUUUUAUGUCGAAAAUAAUUGAAUUAAUAUAUAUAGCUAAAAUUUAUUGUUUCUACUUCUUUCUACAUAGAAUUGCACAAUUUCACCAACUUGGAAGAAUUGAUAUUGGGCAAAUCUGAUCUCCAUGUAAGCCAGCUUCUGCCAAGCAUCGCAUCAUUCACUUCGUUAAAGUAUUUGUCAAUGGGAGGUUGUAUACUCACAGGUGCCGUACAUGGUCAAGGUAAAUUAUGGGUAUCUGAAGCUUUUAAAUUUUUUCUUUUAAAUUUUUUAUAUUUUCACUGUCCAAUGGUUCUACCUUCUCUAAAUUGUAGGAUUCUUGAUUAAGGUUAAUGAAAUUUUUGUUCUGUUAUGUUAAGAAUAUUUCGAUCGCUUAGAAGAGUAAAGAAAAAUAAGUAAAUUAACCCAAAAAAAAAAGAAAAGAACAGGACCGGAUUAUCCUUAUUCCCUUGCAUUAUGUGAUCAAUAUCAAAAUUAUAACCAUUUCUUGUUUAUUGCUUGUAGAUUUUCGUAAAUUCAAGAAUUUGGAAAAUCUGGACAUGAAUCUGGUGUAUGUUGACGUCAACACCAGUUUUCUUCAAAUUGUCGGUGAAUCGAUGCCUUCUCUCAAGUUUUUAUCACUGACAGAUUCAAUUCUUAAUAAAAACACCAUUCUUGAUCAAGGUUAAUUAAUGAUUCUCCUUCUCCCUCUCUCGCAUCAUAACUAAAUUUAAUUGAGAAUAUCUAUAAUGCGAGCUAUUUAUAAACUUAAUGAAAGAUGAUAAGGAGCCAUAAUAAUGACAAAAAUAACUGUAAAAUAGUGCACUGUUGUAGUGUUGAUUGAAAAAUAAUGCUAAUUUUUUACUUAACAUUAUAACGCUGUAUAAUUUUACAGUUAUUUUGUUGCCAUUACGUCAGAUUAUACUGUUCAACUAUCAGUGAUCAAACUUAAUUUUUAAUGUGUACUUGAAAGAUAUGUAAUUAUUUAUCUAUGUGUACUGAAGGAUGAAUUAUAUAUUUUUCAGGACUUUGUCAGUUAGUGCAUCUGCAAGAGUUACACAUCGGCGGUAAUGAUUUGAGAGGUAGCUUGCCAUGGUGCUUGGCAAACAUGACAUCCCUUCAAGUGUUAGAUGCCUCUUCUAAUCAACUUACUGGAAACAUCUCCCCAGGCCUUUGUGAGUUGGUGUUUCUAAGAGAGUUAUCCAUUCAUAACAAUGAUUUAAGAGGUAGCUUGCCUUUGUGCAUGGCAAAUUUGACUUCCCUUCGAGUAUUAGAUGUCUCUUACAAUCAACUUACUGAAAACAUCUCAUCUUCCCUCAUGCAUCUAAUAUCUAUGGAAGAGCUCAUAAUUUCAAAUAAUCACUUCUUCCAAAUCCCUAUUUCACUUGAACCACUUUUCAAUCUCUCAAAACUCAAGACUUUCGAUGGUGAAAUAUGCGCAAAAACUGAGUCACAUUAUAAUUCUUUGACCCCAAAAUUCCAACUGACUUCUAUCUCACUAUCUGGUUACAUAGAUGGUGGCACAUUUCCCAAAUUCUUGUACCAUCAGCAUGACUUGAAGAAUGCUGAUCUCUCACACCUUAACUUGAGUGGAAAAUUUCCAAAUUGGUUGCUAGAAAACAAUACGAACUUAGAGACGCUUCUUCUUGCCAACAACUCUCUUUUUGGAUCAUUUCGGAUGCCAAUUCAUUCCCACCAGAAAUUGGCAAUAUUGAAUGUCUCCAACAAUUUCUUUCAAGGCCAUAUUCCGGUGGAAAUCGGAACAUAUCUGCCAGGUUUAACGGAUUUAAACUUAUCUAGAAAUGCUUUCAACAGUAGCAUUCCCUCUUCAUUUGCUGAUAUGAAAAUGUUGAAAAGGUUGGACAUAUCCUACAAUCAGUUGACUGGUGAAAUCCCUGAGCGCAUGGCCACGGGUUGCUUCUCAUUGGAAAUUCUUGCAUUGUCAAACAACAGUUUGCAAGGUCAUAUAUUCUCUAAAAAAUUUAACUUGACAAAUUUGAUGAGGUUGCAGUUGGAUGGUAAUAAAUUCAUUGGAGAGAUCCCAGAAAGCUUAUCUAAGUGCUAUUUGUUGGCAGGAUUGUAUCUGAGUGAUAAUCAUCUCUCUGGUGAGAUUCCAAGAUGGUUGGGUAAUUUGUCAAUUUUAGAAGAUAUUAUAAUGCCCAAUAACAAUCUGGAAGGACCAAUUCCAAUCGAGUUCUGUCAGCUUUAUUUUCUGACGAUUUUAGACCUUUCAAACAAUGCUAUUUUUGGAACCUUACCAUCUUGUUUUAGUCCAGCAUCUAUUGAACAAGUUCAUUUGUCAAAAAACAGGAUAGAAGGACGGUUGGAAAGUAUAAUCCAUGACAGCCCCAAUUUGGUGACAUUAGAUCUCAGUUAUAAUCGCUUACACGGAAGUAUUCCAAAUCGGAUUGAAAGACUACCUAAGUUAAACUACAUUCUUUUGGCUAAUAAUUAUAUUGAAGGCGAAAUACCAGUUCAAUUAUGCCAUUUGAAGGAAGUGCAGUUGAUUGAUCUUUCUCAUAAUAAUCUAUCUGGUCAUAUUCCUCCUUGCUUGGUUAACACUUCACUUAGUGAAGGUCAUCAUGAGGCAGUAGCUCCAACUUCUAGUUUGUUGGGUCAACUGCCUGCCUCACCUCCAUCUGAAUCUGAGGCUGCAAGUGGACCUCCGAUGGGAAAGGAAGAAACUGUACAGUUCACAACAAAGAAUAUGUCCUACUAUUAUCAAGGAAGAAUUUUGACGAGUAUGUCUGGGAUUGAUCUUUCUUGUAACAAACUGACAGGUGAGAUUCCUACUCAAAUUGGAUAUCUUACUAGGAUUCAUGCACUAAAUCUAUCUCAUAACAAUUUGACGGGCACAAUCCCGACAACAUUUUCAAACCUGAAGCAAAUCGAAAGCUUGGACCUCUCCUACAACCUACUGCAUGGGAAAAUCCCUUCUCAGCUCACUGUGCUAACUACAUUGGCGGUCUUCAGAGUAGCAUACAAUAACUUAUCAGGCAAAAUCCCAGAUAGAGUUGCACAAUUUUCAACAUUUGAGGAAGAUAGCUAUGAGGGGAAUCCUUUUCUUUGUGGAUGGCCACUGUCUAAAAGUUGCAAUGAUAGUGGAUUAUCAGCAGUGACACCAGAAGCUUACACUGAAAAUGAAGAAGGUGAUAGUUUAAUUGACAUGGACAGUUUCUUGAUCACUUUUACAGUAUCUUAUGGAAUUGUGAUAUUAGGAAUUAUCGGAGUUUUGUACGUAAACCCCUAUUGGCGGCGAAGAUGGUUUUACCUUGUUGAAGUGUGUAUGACCUCUUGCUACUAUUUUGUGGCAGACAAUCUUGUUCCUAGAAGAUUCUAUGGUGGAUGGAUGUAAUUUCAUUUACUUUACAACUUAUAUGUAAUUUUUAAAGAAUUUUCUUUUGCAUGCAUGGAAUAGCAACUCAAUAAAAGUAUUUGAUGCAAAUUGUCCAAGAACAACUUAGUAAUUUCAUUGCUACUAUUCGGUUGUAUAUAUACAGUUAAUGAAAUUUUUAAUCAUUCGCAGUAGGAAUUUCUUUAGAUGGCGGCCAAAACUAACAGAUUUGGGGCUCUACUUCUACACAUCAUAACAGGCAAAAGGUCUCUCUUUUACACGAUCUGAAUCAUUCAAUAGGUGUCUACUUCUACACAUCAUAACAGGCAAAAGGUCUCUACUUCUACGCCCCCUGGAGUUCUCCAUUAAACUUGACGGUUGAGAUUUCAGGUCCAGAUGAAAGUUAAAUGCAGGCGACGAGACUACACUUUAAGUAAACUGGGACAAACUUAAAAUAAAAAAAACUAUAGUCCAGGGUGAGAGUGAUGGGUAGCUCAACUUAUGGAGGAUAACUAGGACUUGGAAUAACUAUCAGAUUUGCAACUCUUGUAAUAUAUAGUGGGCAUUCAGGUAGCAAUUAUCGCCUUGGGAGUUACCGUAAUCGAUUCAUUUCCUCCUUCAUUUCUGAUGGUAACCCAGCUCUAUACAAGAACAAUAAGAGAAGGUUCCUUUAAGAAAUUUCACAACCCACAAUUUUUUUUUUUCCUUUUUGCCCUGUUCCUCACAAUAAACACACCUAACACACCAAGCCGUGCCCAAAAUAAUCCUAUUUUAUUCAUGUCAUGAAUCCAAAAACUAUCCCAGCUCACUUUGUUUAACCAGCAUAACUAAAUUGUGGGUAUAAAUGAACAGACUUUCGAAGCCUGUAACUUAUAAUAAGCUCAAACCCAAAAAUGACAUUUAAAUCCUGCAAGUGUUUUUCAUCAUCCCUAACAAAAAGAAACAAGAAUAAUUAUAUACCAAUAAUUUUUCCAUAAAAAAUACUGAUUUGAGUUGAAGCACUAUACAAACUGGGUUUUAUUACACUUGCAGAAAGCUACACGGUAGACAAAAUCUAGCAGCUACAUAUUGGUAUCACUUUCAGCUGGUCAUGAAUGGUGUGCAUUCAGCAGUGCACAAUAGACCAUGUCUAUGAAUUGAUUGUCCUAUUACAUAUAAAAGCUGGUCAGAUAUACAAGGAAAAAAAUAAUAAUUGAAAAUGCAUCACAAAAAAUAAGUGUUUCGCAUUAGUGUUUGCACUCUUAAGCAUGGCAAAGUGGUGCAGGGUUCAUGAUUUUGAAGACAAUGAUAAGUGAAAAAUAGUUCAAUCCAUUGAUGAACAUAAAUUUAUUUACAUGUCAAUUUAGAUACCAUCAAAAAGUAAACAGUAAUUCACAGUCACUUAAAAUAGUUGAUAAAAUGCGUGCCAUGAAUGCAUUUUUGUACAUAAGAAAUCCAAAGAGUAUUUCUGACAAUACAAAUAUGCUAGCUUUAAGUCUGCUGUCAAUAUGCAAUUAAGAAGAUUAUACCAGCUGCAUGAUAAAGUUCCCCUAAUCUUAAUAACAAUAAACAUGAACAUGUCAGAUGCAAUUCUAGCUUCGACCAUUUGCAUAACCAGAAAUCCUAACCUGAACAAGCACCAGAAGUGCCUCUCGGACUUUCUCCUUGCUGAUAAAUGGUCCACUGUUCCAAGUAAGAGCAGGAGUAAGAGAUGGUGGAGGGAUUGGUGGUGGAAACGGUUGAAGCACUGGGGCACCAUAUGGGCGUUGUAGACUCAAGGGAGUAUUAAGUGGCAGAGCUGUUGGUGUAGAUGAAGAGACAGGCUGCAUCAUCCCCGCAGAGGAGGAUGGAGGAGGAACAAAGAAUAAGGAAGGCUUUACAAGGUUAGGGGUAGGUGCUGACAGAGGUGGAGAUGGUAUUGCAAGGUUGGCACGAUAGGAGAAGCAACACUGGCGGGAUGAGAAGGUAAAGAAAUAGUUGUAUUGGACUGGUAAGGUUGUGCAGAGAUUGCUGCAUUAGAAGUAUUCCCCACAGUCAAAGCUGUCUGCAAUGAUAAGGACAGAUGUCAUAUACAAGGACAUCAUAGAAGUUGAACCUCACACAAAAAUGAAGUGAUAACAUGUGAAAAUAGUAUAUGACUUGCUGCAUUUUUGUGGUAAUGUUGCAUACUUAUGUAGAAACAUAUUAUUUCAAAGAAAAC